rnacentral:rRNA from 1 species
AGAAUCAACGCUGGCGGCGUGCCUAACACAUGCAAGUCGCACGAGAAAGGGGAGCAAUCCCUGAGUACAGUGGCGCACGGGUGAGUAACACGUGAAUGAUCUACCUCCGAGUGGGGAAUAACUGAGAGAAAUCUUAGCUAAUACCGCAUAAUACCCACGGGUCAAAGCAGUAAUGCGCUUGGAGAGGAGUUCGCGGCAGAUUAGUUAGUUGGCGGGGUAAUGGCCCACCAAGACGAUGAUCUGUAUCCGGCCUGAGAGGGCGCACGGACACACUGGAACUGAAACACGGUCCAGACUCCUACGGGAGGCAGCAGUGGGGAAUUUUGCGCAAUGGGGGAAACCCUGACGCAGCAACGCCGCGUGGAGGAUGAAGCCCCUUGGGGUGUAAACUCCUUUCGAUCGGGAAGAUAAUGACGGUACCGAUAUAAGAACGCCCGGCUAACUUCGUGCCAGCAGCCGC